GACGAACGCUGGCGGCGUGCUUAACACAUGCAAGUCGAACGGAAAGGCCCUGCUUUUGUGGGGUGCUCGAGUGGCGAACGGGUGUGUAACACGUGAGUAACCUGCCCUUGACUUUGGGAUAACUUCAGGAAACUGGGGCUAAUACCGGAUAGGAGCUCCUGCUGCAUGGUGGGGGUUGGAAAGCUUCGGCGGUUGGGGAUGGACUCGCGGCUUAUCAGCUGGUUGGUGGGGUAGUGGCUUACCAAGGCUUUGAUGGGUAGCCGGCCUGGGAGGGUGACCGGGCACAUGGGGACUGCGGGAGGGCCCAGAGUCGAACAGGAGGCAGCGGGGGGGAAUAUGGUACAGUGGGGGGAAGCCUGAUAAGGCAAUGCCGGGAGCGGGAUGACGGCUUAGGGGUGGUAAACCGCUGUAGCCUGAGACGAAGCGUGAGUGACGGUAAUGGGAAAAGAAGCACCGGCUAACUACGUG
rnacentral:rRNA from 1 species